rnacentral:lncRNA from 1 species
UAGAGAAAGGUCCAGGCAACAAAGAGCCCGCAAAACACCCGAGAGAAGACAGCCCAUAAAUACUCAGGGGCAAAAAACAUACACGAGAGUCCAACGCUCAGACAAAAAUAAUAAAAAGGCAAGAAAGGGAUACUUUCGACAAGAGCAGUUCUCAGACCACACGGUCAUGAAUAGAGUUUAAAGAUUUAUCCCCUCCCCAGUCAUGGAAUAACUGCUGAGGAGAUAAAGGGGCAAUUGAUGAUCGCUGGAUUUCUUCACCCCGGUCUAAAGGCCAGGCCCAUGAAAACAGUCCAUGAUCCGAAGGCUUCAAUAUUCCCCUCGAGAGCCAGGUCCAGCCCGCUCAGUCACAGGGCCGGACUCUGCCUAGACUCCUCAAUCAAGCCGGCCCAAACCUCUCGGCCCAGUAAUCAGGCCCUCACCAGGCUCAACUUCAGCCCUACCAUUCAACCCAGCCCGGAAAGGGGAAAAUGACCAAGAUGCCCCACUGGUAGGUCCUUCCGCAUGCGUAUCAGAGGAGAAU